AAAGUCGUAACAAGGUCUCCGUUGGUGAACCAGCGGAGGGAUCAUUAUAGAGUCUCUGAACUCCCAAACCUUUGUGAACAUACCACUGUUGCUUCGGCGGCGUUCUGGGUGUCUCCGGGCAUCCAGGGUUCCACGCGCCGCCGAGGGUACCAAACUCUUGUCUUUAUAUCGGACUUCUGAGUGAAAAUACAAAAUAAAUUAAAACUUUCAGCAACGGAUCUCUUGGCUCUG
rnacentral:misc_RNA from 1 species